rnacentral:rRNA from 1 species
UACGUAGGGUGCGAGCGUUAAUCGGAAUUACUGGGCGUAAAGCGUGCGCAGGCGGUUCUCCAAGUCCGUUGUGAAAGCCCCGGGCUCAACCUGGGAAUGGCAGUGGAAACUAGGGGACUGGAAUCUGGCAGAGGGGGGUGGAAUUCCGCGUGUAGCAGUGAAAUGCGUAGAUAUGCGGAGGAACACCGAUGGCGAAGGCAAUCCCCUGGACCUGUACUGACGCUCAUGCACGAAAGCGUGGGGAGCAAACAGG